AGAGUUUGAUCCUGGCUCAGGACGAACGCUGGCGGCAUGCCUAAUACAUGCAAGUCGAACGCACGAAGUUGAAAAGCUUGCUUUUCGACCAAGUGAGUGGCGGACGGGUGAGUAACACGUGGGUAACCUGCCCAUAAGAGGGGGAUAACAUUCGGAAACGGAUGCUAAUACCGCAUAUUUCAAGUGACCGCAUGGUCGCUUGAUGAAAGGUGGCUUCGGCUACCACUUAUGGAUGGACCCGCGGUGCAUUAGUUAGUUGGUGAGGUAAUGGCUCACCAAGACCAUGAUGCAUAGCCGACCUGAGAGGGUGAUCGGCCACACUGGGACUGAGACACGGCCCAGACUCCUACGGGAGGCAGCAGUAGGGAAUCUUCCGCAAUGGACGAAAGUCUGACGGAGCAAUGCCGCGUGAGUGAAGAAGGUUUUCGGAUCGUAAAACUCUGUUGUUAGAGAAGAACAAGGAUGAGAGUAACUGCUCAUCCCCUGACGGUAUCUAACCAGAAAGCCACGGCUAACUACGUGCCAGCAGCCGCGGUAAU
rnacentral:rRNA from 1 species